rnacentral:rRNA from 1 species
UACGAAGGUCCCGAGCGUUGUUCGGAAUCACUGGGCGUAAAGGGAGCGUAGGCGGCGCGGUAAGUCAGAUGUGAAAUCCCGGGGCUCAACCCCCGGAACUGCAUCCGAUACUGCCGUGCUAGAGGAUUGGAGAGGUAGCUGGAAUUCUUGGUGUAGCAGUGAAAUGCGUGGAGAUCAAGAGGAACACUCGUGGCGAAAGCGAGCUACUGGACAAUAUCUGACGCUGAGGCUCGAAGGCCAGGGUAGCGAAAGGG